GAAGGUAUAGCUCAAGUGGUAGAAUGUAUGCUUAGCAUGCAUGAGGUCCUGGGUUCAAUCCUCAGUACUUCUU
rfam:Camelus ferus unplaced genomic scaffold scaffold2128, whole genome shotgun sequence.